GAUGAACGCUAGCUACAGGCUUUACACAUGCAAGUCGAGGGACCGGCGCACGUGAGAGUCACACGUAUCCAACCUGCCCUUUACUCGGGGAUAGCCUUUCGAAAGAACUAUUACUACCCGCUCUAAAGGGUGGGGAUGCGUUCCAUUAGGUUGUUGGUUAGGUAACGGCUCACCAAGCCUUCGAUGGCUAGGGGUUCGGAGAGUAAGGGCCCCUACAUUGGAACUGGGGCCCGGGCCAAACUCCGACGGGGGGGAGCAGUGAUUAAGAGUGUGCAAUGGGCGCUAGCCUGAACCUGCCAAGUAGCUUGAAGGAUGAAGGCGUAUGGGUCGUAAAUUUCUUUGAUAUAAGAAGAUGUAUUAUAUGAAUAAGGACCGGCUAACUCCGUGCCAGCAGCCGCGGUAAUUC
rnacentral:rRNA from 1 species